rnacentral:lncRNA from 1 species
GUAUACUAACAGACCUAUCGUAUGUACGGAAGACAAACCCCGUUGGGUGAAUAAACAAGUUUUAAGAGUCCACAACUAACAGAUAUCAGAAUUUGAUUACAAAACAGAUAUAGCAAAUAUUUACAUGUAGUAUACAUAUAACUCCAAAAUACAAUAUCCAUACAUAUACAUAAAUCUCUCACUGGCUGAGCCAGAUAUAUAUUAGAGAAAACUUCAAAAACCGCCUGUGGUUUCACACUUUUCAUUUUUAAUUUUGACUUCACAAUUACAUUGUACCGGAUAUAGUCAAAUUUUGAUUCUUUUGUUUUCGUUGUGCUCCUAUGUUCUCACUAAUUUAUUUUUUUUGUUAUCUUUCUGCUUUUCUUUUCUCGGUGCUUACACAUUCCCCAUCUCUUUGUUGUCAUUUUUGUAUAUGUUGGCUGCAUAUAUUGCUUAUAAAACUAUAGUUUUAUAAGCAUUCAUGAUCUCGGAUAUUUUAUUUAGGAUCUUAUAUGGUUUGAAGUUUGGUCUUUUUGGUGAUUUCGUUCUUUCAUGAUUAUCUGUUACUUUUUUGGAGAGUUUGUGCUUUGAGGCCCAAAUUUUUUUCCUGUUUUACUGCUAUACUUUUUCCUGAAUUUCUUCUUACUUUGUGCAUUCUUGAUCGGCACACAAAUAUUCACAAAUUGAAUUUGGCAGGAUAAAAGAAACAUUUGGUGUACAAGAUAUGGAAAUGCCGAAAACAUAGGCCGAGGAAAAAAUUCAUGAUGUAGCGACAGAACUAGAUGUGGUAGGCGGCACAUCUUUUUCAAGAAUUGGGAAUGUGACAUCUAAUACAAAUAUCGUAACGAAUGCAUGCCAUAAAAACACUUUGCUGGCAGAGACAUGGCUAGCAAUGUGAGCUUCAAUGGUAUUGGAGCAAAAACAUAUGUGAAUACAAUGCUGGCGAUGAUGACGGUUUCUAUUAAUGUUUGGAGGAUGGCAUGAAUUGCAAAAUUUGUGCAACCCCACAUUAAUUGAAAACCAAAUAAGCCAUACUACUAACGGCACUACAUUUUGAUCCUGCGGCGAACUAAUUUGAGAAAAAAUUUAGUGCUGCCUACUGUGAACUGCAAGAAUUCAUGUUGAAUAUUGGUGUUGUCUCUGCUACUUAUCUUAGCUGUGUCUAUUUUGUGUAGUCACAUGCUUUUUUCUACCUGCUACUAUUUCGUUACUAAUAAUGUGUAUGCUGAUCAAUAGUUGAGGCCUUUUUAAAUGAUUGCACUUAAUUUAGGGAGUUUAAAUUAAGUGACUAAAUGCCUAUUUGUUUGCUUUUAUAUCUGGAUGCAUAUGGCUUGGCUGUUUGUCCUGCCAGCAGAUUCAGAACAGUUCCAUGAGUGAAUGAUUGGAACAGUCCGAUUGCAAUGUUGGUUCGUAGACAAAUCUAAGCCUUACAGAAUUCCUAGAAUUGAGUAUAUUUGAAUACUCUUACUUAUAUUUUUGCAAUUGUUUUGUUGGUUUAUGUUUCAGUUGCAAUUCUUUACUAUGUAAAAUAUUUCUAAAAAAGGUGUAUAUGUUGAAUCUUUUGCAUUAGCCGGUGAUCUGUAAUAAAAAAUGCUAAUGUUCUUUUUUAUACUGAAGUUUCUAUUACUGGGUUCUUUGUGUCCAAGAUAUUUUAGAGAUUCUCUUUACUUCAGCAUUGGGGAUUUCUAAUCAUAUUUUUUAGCUUUGAUUCAUUUUUAGAUUACUUCCGGACCUAAAUUCAUGAUCUUGGAUAUUUUAUUUGCAGUCUUAUAUGGUUUGAAGUUUGAUCUUUUUAGUAUAUUCUCAAACAAUUUUGGGAAAAAUUUUAAAUUCACAAAAUUGAUACAUUUUUAAUCAAUGUAUAUUACUGUUGUAUUAGCUUUCCGCCGCAACGCGCGGGUCCCUUAACUAGUAACUCUUGAAUCGUGGGUCCUAAGCGGUACGGCAGGGGCCUCCGCGUNAUUUAAUCAGUUACAAAUUUUUGCACAUAAAUUUAUGUAUUUUCUAAAUUUAAAUUCAACUUACCAUUAUUUUAUAAAGUAGGUUUAAAAAUUGCUUCUAAAAAAUAAAGAAAAAUGUAUGUACAAUUUUGUUGUUGCGAAUUUUUUUUUGCUUAAUCUCGCAGUUGUCGUGCCAUUUACUAAAUUGAAUUUUUUGUUACUAAAUCUUUUUUUUCUUCGUCAUUAGAAUCACCUCCGACCUACACUGGAAGUUUUUUGAGUAUACUAACAGACCUAUCGUAUGCACGGAAGACAACCCCCACUAGGCGAAUAAACAAGUUUUAAGAGUCCACAACUAACAGAUAUCAGAAACUGGAUUACAAAAUAGAUAUAGCAAAUAUUUAUAUGUAGUAUACAUAUAACUCCAAAAUACAAUGUCCAUACAUAUACAUAAAUCUCUCACUGGCUGAGCCAGAUAUAUAUUAGAGAAAACUUCAAAAACCCCCAUGUGGUUUCGCACUUUUCAUUUUUAAUUUUGACUUCACAAU